UGCAUAUCAAUAAGCGGAGGAAAAGAAACCAACAGGGAUUGCCUUAGUAACGGCGAGUGAAGCGGCAAAAGCUCAAAUUUGAAAUCUGGCACCUUCGGUGUCCGAGUUGUAAUUUGAAGAAGGUAACUUUGGAGUUGGCUCUUGUCUAUGUUCCUUGGAACAGGACGUCACAGAGGGUGAGAAUCCCGUGCGAUGAGAUGCCCAAUUCUAUGUAAAGUGCUUUCGAAGAGUCGAGUUGUUUGGGAAUGCAGCUCUAAGUGGGUGGUAAAUUCCAUCUAAAGCUAAAUAUUGGCGAGAGACCGAUAGCGAACAAGUACAGUGAUGGAAAGAUGAAAAGAACUUUGAAAAGAGAGUGAAAAAGUACGUGAAAUUGUUGAAAGGGAAGGGCUUGAGAUCAGACUUGGUAUUUUGCGAUCCUUUCCUUCUUGGUUGGGUUCCUCGCAGCUUACUGGGCCAGCAUCGGUUUGGAUGGUAGGAUAAUGACUAAGGAAUGUGGCUCUACUUCGGUGGAGUGUUAUAGCCUUGGUUGAUACUGCCUGUCUAGACCGAGGACUGCGUCU
rnacentral:rRNA from 1 species